rnacentral:rRNA from 1 species
AGCCUGAUGCAGCCAUGCCGCGUGUGUGAAGAAGGCCUUCGGGUUGUAAAGUACUUUCAGUUGUGAGGAAGGGUGUGUAGUUAAUAGCUGCAUCUCUUGACGUUAGCGACAGAAGAAGCACCGGCUAACUCCGUGCCAGCAGCCGCGGUAAU